GACGAACGCUGGCGGCGUGCUUAACACAUGCAAGUCGAACGGAAAGGCCCUGCUUUUGUGGGGUGCUCGAGUGGCGAACGGGUGAGUAACACGUGAGUAACCUGCCCUUGACUUUGGGAUAACUUCAGGAAACUGGGGCUAAUACCGGAUAGGAGCUACUGCUGCAUGGUGGGGGUUGGAAAGUUUCGGCGGUUGGGGAUGGACUCGCGGCUUAUCAGCUUGUUGGUGGGGUAGUGGCUUACCAAGGCUUUGGCGGGUAGCCGGCCUGAGAGGGUGACCGGCCACAGUGGGACUGAGAUACGGCCCAGACUCCGACGGGAGGCAGCAGUGGGGAAUAUUGCACAAUGGGCGGAAGCCUGAUGCAGCAACGCCGCGUGCGGGAUGACGGCCUUCGGGUUGUAAACCGCUUUCGCCUGUGACGAAGCGUGAGUGACGGUAAUGGGUAAAGAAGCACCGGCUAACUACGUG
rnacentral:rRNA from 1 species